rnacentral:ncRNA from 2 species
GUCUUAUUAAGAGUAGGCGGAGGGAAUUGGCCCGAUGAAACCUCAGCAACAGGCGUAUGUACUGUGCUAAAUCCAACAAGUUUAACUUGAAAGAUAAGAA